UACGAAGGGGGCUAGCGUUGUUCGGAAUUACUGGGCGUAAAGCGCACGUAGGCGGAUCGAUCAGUCAGGGGUGAAAUCCCAGGGCUCAACCCUGGAACUGCCUUUGAUACUGUCGAUCUGGAGUAUGGAAGAGGUGAGUGGAAUUCCGAGUGUAGAGGUGAAAUUCGUAGAUAUCGGGAGGAACACCAGUGGCGAAGGCGGCUGCCUGGGCCAGUUCUGACGCUGAGGCGCGAAAGCGUGGGGAGCAAACAGG
rnacentral:rRNA from 1 species